rnacentral:rRNA from 1 species
AUUGAACGCUGGCGGCAUGCCUAACACAUGCAAGUCGAACGGGGGUAGCGAUACCCUAGUGGCGGACGGGUGAGGAAUGCGUAGGAAUCUACCCACGAGAGGGGGACAACCUGGGGAAACUCAGGCUAAUACCGCAUACGCUCGUAAGAGGAAAGCGAGGGAUCUUCGGACCUCGCGCUGGCGGAAGAGCCUACGUCCGAUUAGCUGGUUGGUGAGGUAAAGGCUCACCAAGGCGACGAUCGGUAGCGGGUCUGAGAGGACGGCCCGCCACACUGGGACUGAGACACGGCCCAGACUCCUACGGGAGGCAGCAGUGGGGAAUAUUGGACAAUGGGCGCAAGCCUGAUCCAGCAAUGCCGCGUGGGUGAAGACGGCCUGCGGGUUGUAAAGCCCUUUAGGCGGGGAGGAACGACGGGACGCGAAUACCGUUUCGAAGUGACGUUACCCGCAGAAUAAGCACCGGCUAACUCCGUGCCAGCCGCCGCCGUAA